GUGGUUUCCGAAGUAGGAUGGCCAACGGAAGGACACUCUGCAGCUACUAUUGACAAUGCCAGGACUCAUAACAACGGAUUGAUUAAUCAUGUACAGAGCAUUGGGACUCCAAAAAGACCUCAGAAGCGUAUCGAUUGAUUAAUCAUGUACAGAGCAUUGGGACUCCAAAAAGACCUCAGAAGCGUAUCGAGACUUAUAUCUUCAAUUUGUUUGACGAGAACAAGAGGGAUCCGGAGGUCGAGAGGCACUGGGGAAUCUUCUGGAACAACAAACAGGCCAAGUACAACAUCAAUUUCCAAAAUCAGUAAUAAGUUCAAGUAUAAAAUAGCAGUUUAUCAUUAAUAAAAGGGUUCGGGAAUGUAUGAGUACCCACGAAGAACCAAUUUUACAAACUGCUGUUUGUUUGUACCAAAGCUUUACACCAAUAUAUCAUUCGGACACUUUCAAAUUUUUGAUCUCAUUUAAAACAUUGUUUUGAGAAAUUGUAUUAGUCUUAAAAGUAAAAAGUUAAAUUCAAAAAUAAAUCAACAAUCUGAGAAGUGUUAAAGCCCUACGAGUAACACUGUGUUAAAGACCUAUGAGUAACACUUCUGAAACUGUCGAUUUGUUUUCGAAUUUAACUUUUUAUUUUUAGGAAAAAUUGAUUUUUUUGUCACUCAACUUAUUACGUUUUUAGAAACUUGCCACCCAACUAAUUUUUUUUUUCCUUUUACUCACUAAUGUUUGGUUUGGAUUUUUUUUUUUAGCCACCAACUUAGGUUCAGAUUUGAUUACUAGCAUUAUGAUAAUUUUUUAUAGCAUCAUUUAUACAUAGUGAUAGUAUGUAAUAUUUUAAUGAUGUCGUAUGUUUAUAUCUUUAUAUAUAGUAAUAAUAAUAUAAAAUGAGCCGAUGAAAAUUUAAAACCAGGAAAAAUCGUAAUUAGAAUUCUAAAAAAAUUCAAUAAUUCAUGAAUAUGAAAUCAGUGAUUUCAAACAAUUCACCCUCCCUAAUAAGAUAAAGUGUAAUUGAGUGAUAUGAUGCAUCAUCUUUCAUUAUUAAAGUUUCAAUCGACUAGCUCCGUCUAAGAUCUCUCUUAAAUUUAUCUUCAUAAAUUUUAAUAACUUCAUCUCUUGCUUCAAAAAAAUAAAAUAACUUUAUCUUAUUACAAUUUUCAAGAUAAAUAAAUAGAGAGGUUAACUUAAUUUUCGAUGAUUGUCCUCUAUAAUGCAUCAUUUUAUUAUUAUUACUCACUCCAUCCCUCUCAUUAGUUUACAGUUUAUUCUACUGCUUAGCACGUAUUUUAAAACUCCUAUAAAACAUAGUUUCGUAACUUAUCACCCUAUGUAAACGACAUUGGAGACAUAAAGUACUAUAUAUGAAGAUACGGACAUUUACCAAAUCAUCAAAAUAUUACAGACUACCACUAUAUUUUAAUAAUACUACAAAUAAUUAAUGUAAUGCUAAUAAUCAAAUCUGAACCUAACUUCAGUGACAAAAAAAAAUAACCUAACAUUAGUGAGUAAAAUAAAAAAUAUUAUAGUUGAAUGGUUAAUUUUUAAAGAGGCAAUAAAUUUAGUGACAAAAAAAUUUAUCAUAAUGCUAGUAAUCAAAUCGUUUUAAAAUUAAACAAAUAUCCCCUCAAACUCUUAAAAACUAACAAUAUCACCACCCUAGCUUUGCCAUCAACUUCCAAAAACUUACACUUUCUACCCCCUGCCACGUCAGCACUGGGGUCCACGUCACCCUGCCACGUGAGUCCCCCACUGCUGACUAGUACUAGUGCGUGGUUUUGAUCAAAUGGGUGAGCCAUCAAGAAACAAACGGCAACGGAUUUGAGAUCGCGAAGACGUCUUCGGUUGAGUUAUAUAUCAAGUAAGUUUUUAUCUUUCUAAAGUUGUAAAAUCACAUCAAAAUCAAGAGGAUCUUCGUCAGAUUAGUCUUUGUGAAUUAUAUCCUUGUAUUUUAAAACCGCUUCUAUUCAUAGAUUUAUUCUUGAUUUAUCGUCAAACUAAUAUAUUUUUCUUAUCUUUGUUCAUAAUUUAGUGUGUAUCAUUUUUCUUAUGAAUCAUCUUUUUUAAAAUUUUUGUGAAUCUUUGUUGUGCUAAAUUAGUUUUUGAUCGGCUCUUCGUUCCGAUGUAUAUCUUUUUGGUUUAGUGUACAUGGAGGUGCAUUGUUAUGAUUUUUGAUGCCGGUAUAGUUUUUGUACGAAAACUUUACAUUAAUAUUCUUGUUCUUUCGUGACUAGUCACAAUAUUACUAUUGUUUGAGUUCAAUGCAUAUAUUCUUAAUAUGUAUUAAUUUGGGUGUGUUUUCAUGAUUUCUUGAUUUGUAUUGUUAUACGAAUUUCGUUCCUCGUACUUUUUCAGAUAGGUUAUUAAGGAUCUUGAAAAUCUUUUCCCAACUUUCACAUCUUUUGUGUUUUUUUUAAAAAAACCUAAAAAUUAGCAUUUUUUAAGUUAUGCUAAUAAUUAUUUGUUAGGCAAAAAAAUUGUUUUUGAUUAAUAUGUUUUAAAUGUGCCUUUGAUGCUCUUUAAAUGUGUUGUUUGUAUUAAGGAAUGUUGGUCAACUAUUCUUAAGUGAUAUAUGGUACAAUCAAUUACUUGCUUAAUUUUGAUAAUUGAUUACUUUUUUUAAGUUUCUAAGAUUCAAAUUUUGAAUUUUUAAAUAAAUGUUGCGUGAUACAUGUUACAAUCAAUUACUUGUUUAAUCUUGAAAAUUGAUUACUUUUAUUAACUUUCUAAGAUUCAAAUUUUGAAUUGCUUAAAUAAAUGUUGUGUGAUAUAUGUUAUAAUCAAUUACUUGCUUAAUUUUGAAAAUUGAUUACUUUUAUUAAGCUUUUAAGAUUCAAAUUUUGAAUUUUUUAAAUAAAUGUCGUGUGAUAUAUAUGUGAUAGAAAUUGAGUACCAUAUCUUGGAGGUCAAGUCUUACGGCUUGUUUAGUGACUUUUAAUAGUCUAAGUGCCAUUUUUUGGAGGCAAUAAUUGAUGGUAUAAUUAUACCUUUAAGAGGUAUUUUGUGUCAUAGCUGAUGACUAGUAAAUAUCAGUAUAUUAUUUUAAUGAUAAUUAUUUAGAGUAUUAUUCAUUGUAAAUAUAUUAUAUAUAACGCUUGCUGGCUCUAACUUUAUUUCUGUGUAUAUAUUUAUGUGUGUGUGUGUGUUUAUAUAUAUAUAUAUAUAUAUAUAUAUAUAUAUAUCAAAUAUUUUCAUAAAUAUAACUAGUGAGUUUAUUUUUUAUUUUUAUGAAAUAUUUAGUUUAAUAUAUUUAUAUUUUAAUGUUAGUAUUUUGCAAUUUGGAGAGUAUAUAUUAGUAAUAUAUUUUUAUAUUAUAUAAGUUUUCAAAAGAGUAUGAUUAAUUUUUUUGUUUAUUUUCCUGACAAAAAUAUAAAAUCUUUUGUUAGUGUUAUUUGUUUUCACAAGUAAAUAUUAGUAUGAAUUAUGAAUUUUUAUUAUUUGUGUGUCUAACCAAAGUUCUCGCUUUGGUUAGACAUUAUAUUUUUUCAUAAUUAUCUCUUGUUUUGUAUAAGUUUUAAUAUUCAUAUUGUUAAAUAAGAUAUUAUGUUUUCUGUUAGGAAUUACGUCAUAAUUCGAUAUAUAUUUUUUAUAAUAUACACUUUUUUUACUUUAAUUAUUAUUCUUAUGUUUCUCUUUGUUUGUUUGAUUUUCAGGAUCAUGGAAAGAGACUGGGUUUUCUUUUUCAGACUUUAAAGUCUUAUUAUCUAAACGUCCGGAGAUAUCUUUGCGUAUCUUUCGGUUAAAUGAUAAACUUUCUAGAAUGAAAGAAAUCUCUGAUGCGGUUAUUGUAUCUAUGAUACAACUCAUCUACGAGCAUGUAGAUCCUGACAAAAAAAAAAUCCGAACCUAAAUUGGUGGCUAAAAAAAAUCCAAACCUAACAUUAGUGAGCAAAACGAAAAAAAUUUUGUUGGGUGGCAAGUUUCUAAAAACAUAGUAAGUUGAGUGGAAAAAAAAAAUCUAUUUUCCUUAAUUUUAAGACUGGUAAAUUUCUGAAACGAUGUUUCAAAUGAGACCGAAAAUUCGAGGAUGCCCCGAUGAUAUAUUGGUGCGAAGUGAGUGUCAAAUUUGAUAAUUAAAUUAAUUUUAAAUCAGAUUUUUCAUAUUUCGUAUAUCUUUAUAUGUAUGAAAAAAGAUAUUUGUCGAGUUAGAACGGGUUACGUAAUGGUUCGUGAGUUAUAAAGAGUUGUAUGAGGAUUCUUGUUAAAACAAUAUUCAAACUGUAUAUUUAUAAUUUUAUUUUAACUUCAUUAUAAUUUUUUUAUAAAAUAUUAUAUGAUAAUGUAUUGUGAUAAGUGUUUAUAAGAGUAAUAGACCUCCAUAUGUUAUAGACUUCUAGUUCCAUAGGGAGAGUACCAAAAAAAAAACAUAAACAAAAAACAUUCUGGACAACAAAUUAUAUAUAUGUUGACAUAUUAUAGCAUAGUAUAGAUGUAAUCUAAUUUUGAGAUUUUAAUACAAGAGCAUCUUGAACUAUACAGAUUUAGCCAACCAAUUUUAGUCAAUCCCGUUAGGAUGCUCUAGUAAAUUUAAGUCAAAUUUUUUUUUUUUUGAAAGGCAAAAGGGAGAUUAUAUUAAUAAUAAUGGACCAGUACAUCAGAGCAGAUCAGCAAAACAUGUCCAAACGAUUCCCUAGCAUGUCCAAACGAUUCCCUAGCAAUCAUUACAUUUAAUUUCAGCAGACAUAAUACCCUUCCAAAAGCUGCAUAAACUGACCACUACUGCUACUAAUGAUCUACUACUACUAGUGAUACUAGAAAAGAUAUAACUAAAGACCCUUUCCAUGCAGUUCCUGAACAAACCCUUGAACUUCCAUAGUUACUCCAGCUCAAUGAUCUCCACCCCAUUCACAUUUGCAAUAGCAUCCAUAGCAUCUAGAGCACCAUCUUCAACGACCGGAGCUUGAUCCUCAGCAUCAUCCUCCACAGCAGGCUCCAGUUCAGCCUCAUGAACAGCAACAAAAUGAGGGUCAGCUUGACCUAAUCCCAUGUCCAAGUGCCAGAGCUCAAACACCCUACCAAAGGGAUGAGCCAUAAUCACCAUAACUUUGAAGUGAUGAGCUCCAUAUUCAGCCAAAUACUCAGCCAAAGCGUUAGCUUCAAGAUCACAGAGAGAGAUAUCCAUAUCAAAGCUUGCAUCAGCCUUGCGUUGGUUGAGUUGCUGCACAAUAAACUGAUCAUCCGGGUGGACGCCUUCAAGAUGAGAGUUUCGCCAUUCCCAGAAUGACUCAAAGUGGUCUGAUUCCAGGAUGAAGCGUUCCCAACCUUCCAGAAAAGCACAUUUGCAUCCUUCCAACAUGGCCUGAAACUCAUUCAACCUGCGAGACUGAAUACCAAGGGAGCCCGAAAUCAUACGCAAGAUUUUCCCACGACUGUUGCGAACAACCACACCGAUGCUAGAGACGUUGCCAUUGGGAAGAGCAUUGACAAGGAAACAACCAUGCACAUUAAUUUUGAUCUUUCCCUGACGAGGCAUAAUCAUCAACAAAUUCAGGCUCAACCAUUAAGAGAAAGUGUUAACAAAGGAGAGGGUUUAAUGAUGGAGUUCAGUGUUUUAAAAAGUAAAAAUUGGUAAAAAAACAUGAAAUAAGAAUUAAUUGAAUUAAUCAUAAUUAAUCAUAUAAUUAUAUAUUUAACCGGUUCAAAGAGUAUGGAACAGAGACUAAUCAAAAUUAAUCACUGAUUUCUAGAAUAAUAACGGAGUCUAGCAUAACGUACAUAUUAGCUACGAUGUUCGGUAUAAUCUUAACAAUAUAUACUGAUUUGACCUAUAUCAAAUUUGUUCUAAAAAUUGAGAGUCUAAAUUUAUACUAUUUAAUUUGUACUCUCAAAUAAUUUUUGAGUUAGAUUUGGUUUUGUUUAUCGAAAUAGAUCGAUAUCAAAACUUAAAAAUAAUUUAAAUCAUACACGAUUCUGAUUGAAAAUCUAAAAAAACGUGUGAAUGAGAUAUGAGAAUGGAAAUAAAUAAUGAGAUGAAGAGUAUGCGAAUGAAUAUCCCAGAUAGUGUCAAAUGAAUAAUUUAUCCAUAAAAUAAAAAUGGAAUUCCAAUUACAUAACAUAAAAUGCUAGGAUCGGAACUCUUAAAGUCAGGGUUAUUUCGAACACCAACACUUAUAUUUAAGAUUCUGAUUCCUCUUAACUGGACAUUAAUUAUGAAGAUCUUUCAACUCUAAAACGGCCACGACGGGAGUCUGCACUCUCUGCGCUACAGCAUACAGUGCUGUCACCUAUAUUUUGUUACCAUAUCUAUUUGGUUCUAAUUUUUUUUGGAUGAUAUAGGCUAUUGAGUUUUAAGACCUUCUAGAUUAAUUUAGAUUAUGAAUUCAAGAUUUUGUAGAUUCAUUUGGAUUAUGAAUAGCAAAUUUAACUCGAUUUAAUGAUAAAAUAAUUUUGCUCAUUUUCAUAAUCAUAUAUCAAAAUUUUUCGAGUCAAUUCUCAGUCAAAUCGGAGUUCGGAUAACCCCCUAUUUUGAUAUUUCAUCGGUGCCUCCAAACUUCGAACUAUAUAUCUAUCUACAUGACGCUAGUAAAAAAACUGGUGCUUAUCUUGUUUCGAAAGGAACAAUGAGCAAAAAUGUGAAGUAUAUCUUCGAUGCCAAUUCUCGUGAACUGGUUUGCCACAUAUUUCCUUAAUUUGGCAAAAACUAACCUGGACCUCAACCCAGGGCUCAUGCAAUCAACGACGCACUUGAGUUUCAAAACACCCUGAGCGAGCCACGUAAAAGAAACACUUCGGCACGUAGCUUAUCAGAGCAUCUCCUGGGGUGCCAAGAGAGGUGCCAAAAUGCCAUGUGGCAUGACAUGACAUAACAAUCUUUUUGGCUACCCAUUGGAGUGAUAGGGGUGCCAAGCAAAGUUGCCAAUUUUUGGCACCCUUUGGCAUCCUCCCAAAAUGGGAAAAAUUCAUUUAUUGUCAUAAAAGCCUAUAAUAUCCUAUCUAAUUUUAGAUAAACAAAAUUAUAGUAUUUUUGACAACUUUAGUUGCCAACCAUUGAAGUGAAUAUUGAUAAGAGGGGUGCCAAAAGUAACUUAAAAGAAAGAGAAAAUAAAAUAUUGAUAUUUUUGAUGAAUAAGCAUGUUUAGCAAUUUUGGUUGGCACCUCACAUUGGAGAUGCUCUCGCUGUAACAAACUUGCAUGUCAUUUCGGCCGCAUUUGCCUUGGUGUUUAUCACUUUGCCCUCAUUCAAGUAUUUCCGACCCGACCCGGCCCCUUCUCCACACUAUAAAUAGGACCCCAAGUACUACAUGCAGAUCACCAUCAAAGAAAGUAGAGCAAGAGUUCUCUUAGUAUCCAGAGCUUUGUUAUCAAAAUGCAUUCGAGAAUUCCCUUUGUAGUGUUGCUACUUUCAUUAUUAUCUUCAAGCUUCCUCCAGAUUGCCUUAGGUGCGUGCAGCUAUUAUAUAAGCUUGUUUCGAUAAUUUUGCACAAUUUUUUUUUAAAAUUUACUAACGUGUAUAAAAUUAUUAUUGCAGGUGCUCUGAGGAACGACAACCAAGCGCAACCUGUAGGUGUUACCUAUGGAACAUUUGCUGACAAUCAACCGUCAGCUCAAGAAGCCGUGGGUCUUGUCCAAUCUGUCGGGAUCAGGAGAAUUAGACUUUAUGGCCCGGACCAUAAUGCUCUGAAUUCCCUCAGGAACACGGGCAUUGAAGUUGUGCUUGGCGUCCCCAACGACCAUCUCCCGUGGAUUGCCUCUAACCAAGACAACGCCAAGCAGUGGAUCCAAGGCAAUGUCCAAAACUAUCAGAACGUCAAUUUCAGGUUCAUUGUUGUUGGCAAUGGAAUUACUCCGUUCCACGACCAGACUUCCCAGUUCGCGCAGUUUGUCCUCCCUGCCAUGCAAAACAUCCAGAACGCAAUUUCUGCAUUCGGCCUCCAGAACAAAAUGAGAGUCACCACAGCCGUGGACCAAUCCGAGAUGCUUAACGUGAACUAUCAGCCAUCACAGAGUGAAUUCAGGCCCGAAGCCAGACAAUUCAUCGAUCCAAUCAUCCAAUUCCUAGUUCACAACAACAAUGCACCCUUGCUCGUCAACCUUCACCCUUUCUACAGCUUAGUGCACGUAAAGGAAGACAUCCCUAUGGACUUAGAAGCUCAAGCCCACCGCGAAUCCAGAAGUGCUCGUUUUGAUUACGCUACUUUCAGGUCUGCACAAACUCGUGUCCAAGACGGACCACUUAUCUACACAAACUUGUUUGAUUCAAUGGUGGACAGUGUACACGCCGCGCUAGAGAAGGCUGGCGGAUCCUCCUUGGAUGUGGUGGUCUCCGAAGUAGGAUGGCCAACGGAAGGACACUCUGCAGCUACUAUUGACAACGCCAGGACUCAUAACAACGGAUUGAUUAAUCAUGUACAGAGCAUUGGGACUCCAAAAAGACCUCAGAAGCGUAUUGAGACUUAUAUCUUCAAUUUGUUUGACGAGAACAAGAGGGAUCCGGAGGUCGAGAGGCACUGGGGAAUCUUCUGGAACAACAAACAAGCCAAGUACA
rnacentral:lncRNA from 1 species